UGAUGAUGAUGAUGAUGUAUAUAUACAUAUAUAUAUAGUCUGCCACAAAAAUAUAUACACACUUCAGGAAAGGAAAAAUUUGUAUAAAUAUUUUAAUUCAGUGUUAUUUGGAAUUUGAUAAAACAUCAAAAGAGGUGUCUAUAUUUAUA